UCUCUCCAUCUUUAGUUUCUUUUUAAAUGGUUAGUCCUACUUGCUCUCCAAUUCAACAGACAUUCUACCAUGCGCUGGGAGCUUGAUGGAUUUUAUCUAAAGAAGUUGAAAGUAGCUUAUGUGAAUAUUGAUGGACUUGUAACAAAGUAUUCCUUUAAUGUGAGGCAAAACAUAUUUGUAUAGUUGCUUAGUGAAUUCAGAUAUGGAGCAAAAACAUAAAAGGCGUCCAAGAAAGGGGGAGGAAGGGAAGAACUUCUCUCCAUCUUGUGGUGACUGAAAAUCAACAAAAUAAGUUGAUAUUGGGGUAGCAUACUGGGCAAUUUAUCUAUUGGGGUAUAGCUAUCCCUUCCCUGGAAGAGCCCAUGCCCGUGUGUAUGCUCUGUCGACUUUAGUCAGUUCGCAUCAUGCGUGAGGAAAGCUCAUAGGAGUUAUCAGUCA